rnacentral:rRNA from 1 species
CCUACGGGUGGCUGCAGUGGGGAAUAUUGCACAAUGGGCGCAAGCCUGAUGCAGCGACGCCGCGUGCGGGAUGACGGCCUUCGGGUUGUAAACCGCUUUUGACUGGGAGCAAGACCUUCGGGGUGAGUGUACCUUUCGAAUAAGCACCGGCUAACUACGUGCCAGCAGCCGCGGUAAUACGUAGGGUGCAAGCGUUAUCCGGAAUUAUUGGGCGUAAAGGGCUCGUAGGCGGUUCGUCGCGUCCGGUGUGAAAGUCCAUCGCUUAACGGUGGAUCCGCGCCGGGUACGGGCGGGCUUGAGUGCGGUAGGGGAGACUGGAAUUCCCGGUGUAACGGUGGAAUGUGUAGAUAUCGGGAAGAACACCAAUGGCGAAGGCAGGUCUCUGGGCCGUCACUGACGCUGAGGAGCGAAAGCGUGGGGAGCGAACAGGAUUAGAUACC